AUGAAGAUAGAUGAAGCAGUUACUUUGGGAGAUGUGCAUAACAAAUUUGACAUCACCACCACCUGAGUAUGCAGAAGGACAUGAAGAAUACUUCCACUCAUGAAGAGUGAGAUUCCCAGCUGGCAAUAUAAGGAUAGAGCUGAAAGUUAAUUAUGUACUAGAGGGAGAUGGAGGUAGGAAUUGAGACUGAAGUGAAGCAUUUCAUUCCCAGCUUCAAGCAGGUCCUUUUAGAAAUGAAAAUCAAUGGCAAUUGGAGGUCCCUGCCAAGCUGAGAAGUUACAGCUUUUGGUCUGUACUUCCGCAUUAUCCCUGAGAUAAGAGAGAUUCAGG